rnacentral:rRNA from 1 species
GGCUCCUUGACUCAUUCUUUUUAUAAGGAGUCGGACCUGCCCAGUGAAUUAGUUUUUCAACGGCCGCGGUACUCUGACCGUGCAAAGGUAGCAUAAUCAUUUGCCCUAUAAUUGAGGGCUAGUAUGAAUGGUUUGACGUGAGCAAGACUGUCUCUAUGUAAAUUUCUAGAAUUUGAUUUUUAGGUGAAGAAACCUAAAUUUUAUUGAUAGACAAGAAGACCCUAUUGAGCUUUAAAAAAGUAAAUAGAAAAUAAUAUAUAAGUUUAAAUAUUAAUCUAUUUUAAAUUUUGGUUGGGGCGACUAAGGAACAAACAAAGCUUCUUUAAUAUCUUCAUACCUACAGGUCUUGAUCCAGAAGUUCUGAUUAAUGGAAAUAGUUACCAUAGGGAUAACAGCAUAAUUUUCUUUGAGAGUCCUUAUCGAAAAGAAAGUUUGUGACCUCGAUGUUGGACUAGAAUAUCCUAAAGAUGCAGCAGUCUUCAAGGGUUGGUCUGUUCGACCAUUAAAAUUCUACA